rnacentral:lncRNA from 1 species
AAGGCUACCGCACUUGUGAAUUGAACGAGAACAUCACAUCUUGUUCCAAACGUAAUAUAUUAGUUUUCUAUGAUUUUUUUUUUUUUGUUUUUGUUAUUAUUUAUUUGGAUAAUUGACUUCAAUUUUCAUACUCUUGUUCUUGGGUUAUGGCUAUUUGUUGAUAUUGAUGAAUAAAUUUCUUAGGACAUCCUCUUUUUCCUAUAUUCCAAUGUUGACUAUUAGAAAGAUAAUU